rnacentral:rRNA from 1 species
UGGGGAAUAUUGGGCAAUGGGCGCAAGCCUGACCCAGCGACGCCGCGUGGGUGAUGAAGGCCUUCGGGUCGUAAAGCCCUGUCGGGAGGAAAGAAUGAUCGUGGGGGGAAUAUCCCUGCGAUGUGACGGUACCUUCGAAGGAAGCACCGGCCAAUUCCGUGCCAGCAGCCGCGGUAAGACGGAAGGUGCAAGCGUUGCUCGGAAUCACUGGGCGUAAAGGGUGCGUAGGCGGCUUCUUAAGUCUGGUGUGAAAGCCCAGGGCUUAGCUCUGGAAGGGCACUAGAAACUGGGGAGCUUGAGUACCGGAGGGGAGAGUGGAAUUCCUGGUGUAGCGGUGAAAUGCGUAGAUAUCAGGAGGAAUACCGGUGGCGAAGGCAAUCCCCUGGACCUGUACUGACGC